GGGGCUGAUUAGGAUUCGACAGGAUCUAGGACGCCGGAGGUGCAUGCAGAGGUGCGGCUGGCCUCUUAAAAAAGCCGCAU
rnacentral:tmRNA from 1 species